rnacentral:tRNA from 1 species
UCCGGUAUGAUGUAGGUGGUUAGCAACUUGCCUUUCACGCAGGAUACCGGGGUUCGAGUUCCCCGUACCGGAA